UGUCUGUAAAAUAAAAAUAAAAGGUCUGGGUAUGUGGCUCAGUGUUUAAGUGCCCUAGGUUCAAUCCCUGUUACAAAAAAAAGAAACCCCACAAGUAAUAAUAAUAAUAAUAAAUAAUAAUAGAUCAGGCUACAUGAAAGUUCAAGACGUCUUCUUAAAUGAAGGCCACAAAGCGAACAUUUGCAACAUCCAAGUCUGAUGGGUUCGUGAGGGAUUGUCUCCUGCCACUCGGCUGGAUUAUACAAGAAAUAUUUGUGGACCAAGAAGAGGUCUUGGGGAGAGGCUGAGGUGCGACCAGUGGAGAAGCAUAUGCAGAGAUGCUCAUGGUGCCCGUGAUUCAGAGAAAAGCAACUGACAGCGACAAGUUCAUUUUGUCCCCCUGGGUCUCACAGGUGGGAAAGGUGGAGGGUGCUCCGUGCUGGCGAGGAUGUGGCUCCUGGGCUGCCCGGCCUCUGGGAAGCAGCCAGCCUAUCCCAGUGACUCAGGCACGUCUACCUGCCAGCCAGUCUGGGGCCACAUGAGCUCAGGGAGAAGUCACUGGCCAAGGGUUGUCUCUCGGCACAGAGCCGUACCAGCUUGGGGUGGGACCCGACACAGAAGGAGUCUGGCACUUGCUGUUCCACUGCCUUGGUGACAUCCCUUCCCGAGAGAUAUCAAGCAGCAGACCGCUGGCAGGCGGGAAGCCAGGGUGUCUCCUGCCACUCAGUGUCAGAUUGAUUGCUACCUGGGAUCUGGCAGUCCCAGUCCUGGGCACAGGCACUGAGAGAAUCUCCUGAGCAAAGAUGGACCAGGAUCCUGACAGAGUUGUUUGUGAACAUGGAGAGCGGCAGCUGGUGGAGCCUCCACUGCUAGAGGAAUGAAUGUUUUAUAAGGUUAGAGAGUAUGAUGGAGGUGUCCCAUACUGCCUUAAGGACACCAACAGCUUUCACCUUUGCCCCCUGGAAACCCUGAGCCACCACAUAAAAACUCAGGCUACUCUGCUGACCAAAACAGAGACCAUGUACAGAAGUCACAUGGAACCUCAGCUGUCCCAGUCUGCCCAGCAGAGCCCAGCCUCCCACUGACCUGCCAACUGAAUGGACCCAUGUGAGUGACACUGGCAAGACCAGCAGAAGAUGGAGAGAGAGGAUGUGAGCUGGCAGAGGCAGUUCUGAAGCUCCACAGCCUUGCUGCUGGCCGGACAGGAGGUCUCAGUGCCCUGGAGGGGGAUUGCUAAAGGGUGGGGGUCCAGGAGACAGAGGCGUUCCCCUGCGGGGGUGACCGAAGAGGCCUGCACAGGAAAGAUGGAAUUUAAUUUGGGCCCUGAAAAGUAAGUGGACUUCAGAGUUGGAGGGAAGAGCUCUCCAAAUGGAGAGUUUUGUGUGUACAGAGCAACAUGGAGGUGGGGGUGUGUGGUCCUGCGGGAAAUGGAAGUGGCCAGGGCCAAAGCGGAGCCAGUAAUCACAAUGAGGGAUGGCAGUCUUGCUCUCUGCUUGGACAAAUCCUCCAAACCACACAUAUCAGGAGACACUUUCAAAAGAAAGCGAGCCCCGGCAACACUUGUCAUGUGAGUUAGGGAGGACCUGAGCCCCAAAUGAAUGAGACGUCUCCCAAGGUAGCGCACGUUAUCACCAGGAAUUGAGGGACAAAUCAAUGCCUAAGCAUAGAUACAGAACGUUAUUUUUUUCAUUGAUUGUAAUAUAAUUUUUGUGCACAUUAAACAUGUAGGCUUUUGGCAAGAAAUAUUUUCCUGAAAAAGGAAGCAAAGAGAUUUGGGGAGGUGUGGCAGAUCUCCGGGUCCCUUUUGAUGGCUGUCAGUCACUGGAAGGGCGGGCCUUUGGGCAUCAUGGUAGGGACUAAAGGGGAGAAGUCAUGGAGGGAAGGUUCCGGAUGCUUCCGGGCUCAGGUGAGAAUUCCAACUUUGCUCCUUUCUGGUUGCAAAGUACUAAGCACAGGAUCCGGCACUUGGUGAAGGUUAGUAGUCUUGUUGCUAAAAUUCCUCAUGACUGUCCUUCACCCCAUAUCAAAUGAAGAAGCCAGUGUCUGGGGCCACCCAAGGGUCAGCGUGCUGGGAACAGCAUGUGGUUCCAGGGUCUUCCUCUGGUUCCGUCUCUCCUUCCUGCACCCACCGCUUCCCUGUCCUCAGGGACACAGGAGAGAAGGUUGAACUCCAGACCCCCAUCUGCGUGGUUUCUUAAGUGAAUCAACUGGCCUCUUGGAGAUGCAAACAGUGUAGAACAGUGUCCCAAGAGCCAGCCAGCAGCAGGGGACCCUGCCAAGACAAAUACAAAGAAAACUUGAGGCAUCAAGUACCCACUUUCCACAAAGGGAAACAAAACAGAAAGUUAGAAAACCAAUAGCUUACUUACCAUUGAAGCUGUGAUAUGGGAAAGAUUGGUUGGAUCCUUAAGUUCAGUUUGCCACUUUCCCUGGGCUGUCUUGGGCAAAUCACUAGACCUCUUUAAAACUCCAUUUCCUCUUCUGACCAAUGGGCAUACUGACACCUCGAAGAAUUAUUAACGAUAAUUAGAUGAUGCAUGUGAGGGCAAUAUGCAGUAGGUUGACACAGAGCUAAGACUGUUAGCCUUGGGGGUGGGGACACAAUCCUUUGUGCCUUGCUUGGCAGUGGGAGCCUGCAACUCCCCCCAGAUUCUCUAAAAGGGCCCUCAUCACACCCCCAUGCAAAGAUUAGAGGCACCAACAUCAAGUAUUUUUAUUUUGUUUCUAUUGUAAGAUUAAAUGCAAUUUCAAAAAACAUCAGAGAAGAGAGAAAAAGAAAAUUAAGACAGGAAAAGCAAUAGUCAGUCAUAGACACCCAACAUAGUGGGUUGGCUUUUGUUUUGUUUUAAUCUUUCUGUUGUUUAUUGUUGUUGGAGGUUUUUUCAUGAAUGGAGUCAUCCUCUGGACAGAUUUCACAAAAUGAAAAUAUAAAUGGGGUAAAAAAAUAAAAAACCAAAGGCAGUAACAAAACAGUGACUCAAGAAACAUUUUUUUUUUUCAUAAAAGGAACAUAUGUUCAUGGUAAAAAAAAAAAAAAAAAAAAAAGUUCAGGUGAGAAUAUAUCUGUCCACCCUUCUCAUUGUCCCUCACUCCUGAUCCUAUUAGCUAGAGUUAACUGCUCUUGUCAGAAACUUAUUUUUGGUUGUUUCCACACUGCAAAUGAUGGUCUCCAGGUUUUUGUUUGUUUGCUUGUUUUUUGGUACCAGGAACUGAACCCAGGGGUGCUUAACCAUUGAGCCACAUCCCCAGCCCGUUUUUAUAUUUUAUUUAGAGACAGGGUCUCCCUAAGUUGCUUAGGGUCUCUCUGAGUUGCCGAGGCUGGCCUUGAACACGAGAGCCUUCUACCUCAGCCUCCUGAGUCCCUGGGAUUAUAGGCAUGCACCACUGUGUGGCCUCUAUUUUUUGAAGAAGAGAGAAUUUAGAAAAUUCCCAGAGGCAUCUAAUUUGCUAAAAGAUAAUGAACAUCAUAGGAAAGAAUUAAGUGCUUUCCUGGAUCCUGACAAAAUAAAGAUAUCAAUCAAAGAAACUCCCCAAAGGAAGUCCAGAUGGCCAUGCAACUGAACUUCACCAUGCUCGGCGGCCUGUAAUGUCCAUGCCCUUGAAAUACUCGGGAAAACUAUCCAGCAGAAAGCAACACCUGAUACACAGUCAAUCCUUCAGAAAACCGACCCAAGCAGGAGAAAACCCUCCCUAAUGGACACAGGAGCAAACUUUCUUGCAGGCUGAUUCCUUGGACAGAGCCAUGGGGCCACCAGAAUUCAGGGGUCUUGUGUAGGGUGGGACAGUGUCAGGAUGAGAGUAACGCUCAUCACAUAAAGCGCAUUAUCCCAAAACAUUUGGUCAGUUAUGUUGUCAUUCAGAUUUUCGAAGCAUGUGAAACAAACAGUAGAUUGCUAUGAUUUGAAUGAUGGUAUCCCUCCACGAUUCACCUCGAGACCCAGUUGUCAUGGCGCAGGGUUAAGAAGUGGAAUUUUUGACUGUGUGACUGAUCUGAUCCUGCAAUAUGUAUAAUCAGAAAAGUGAGAGAUUACACUCUAUGU